UCUUUUUCUCAGCUUAUUGCAUUACCUAGAUUUUAUAGUACAACAGUAAAUUGGAGCAGUGAAAAAUGCUACCCAUGCCUUGUUACAGAUCUUAGUGGGAAAGAAUUCAGUCUUUCACUAGUAAGCCACUGGCCAGGGCAGUGGGCUCAUCUGAAACUGACCUGGAAGGGGAGAUCAGUGGUGGUGGAAAAUCCACUUCCAAGCUCACUCAGGUCAAGCAGUGCAGGAAAAAGCAAGAGAGAGCAUCCAGGAUGGAAGUCACAGUCCUUUCACAAUCCAAUCUCAAGAGUGAUAUCCUUUCAUUUCUAGAAUGCUUUAUUAGAUGCAAAUCAGUUAAGUCCAGUCAACACUCAGAGGAAGAGAAUUACAUAUGACCAUUAAUACCAGAAGGCACUAACCAAGACAGCCAUUUGGGGGCUGCUUUAUAUACUUACCCUUUUAAGGUCUGGAGAAACUGUUCUUUGUGUGUGAUACUCACAAUUUGUGUCUUCUUUCUUAUUUUCUUAGAUAGUGUAAGUAGAGAGUUAGCAACAUUAUUGAUAUUUUCAAAGAUAUAACUUUAGUGUCACUGAUUUUUCUCUACUGUUUUUCUGUUUUGAAUUACAUUGAUAUUUGACUUUAUUACUUUUUUUUCUGUUUAUUUGGGUUUAGUUUGUUCUUUUUACUUGGCUUAUUCUGGUGCAAUACUGGAUAUUAUCUUUAGAAUUUUCUUCUUUUCUAAUGUAAGUUUUAACCCUAUAAUUUUUCCUCUAAGAACUGCUAAUAGGUACAGUUUUGAGGUAUGUUGUAGUUUUUAUUUUCAUUUAGUUCAAAAUGCGUUUUGAUUUCUCUUAAUACUCUUCUAUGACACAUAGGUUUUAUAAAAAUAUAUUAAUAUCUGAAUAUUUGAGGAUUUUUCAGAUAUUUUUCUGCUAUUGAGUUCUACUUUAAUUCUGUUUUAG